AGAGUUUGAUCAUGGCUCAGAGUGAACGCUGGCGGUAGGCCUAACACAUGCAAGUCGAACGGCAGCACAGGAGAGCUUGCUCUCUGGGUGGCGAGUGGCGGACGGGUGAGGAAUACAUCGGAAUCUACCUUUUCGUGGGGGAUAACGUAGGGAAACUUACGCUAAUACCGCAUACGACCUACGGGUGAAAGUGGGGGACCGCAAGGCCUCACGCGAUUAGAUGAGCCGAUGUCCGACUAGCUAGUUGGCGGGGUAAUGGCCCACCAAGGCGACGAUCGGUAGCUGGUCUGAGAGGAUGAUCAGCCACACUGGAACUGAGACACGGUCCAGACUCCUACGGGAGGCAGCAGUGGGGAAUAUUGGACAAUGGGCGCAAGCCUGAUCCAGCCAUACCGCGUGGGUGAAGAAGGCCUUCGGGUUGUAAAGCCCUUUUGUUGGGAAAGAAAUCCUAUCGGUUAAUAACCGGUGGGGAUGACGGUACCCAAAGAAUAAGCACCGGCUAACUUCGUGCCAGCAGCCGCGGUAAUACGAAGGGUGCAAGCGUUACUCGGAAUUACUGGGCGUAAAGCGUGCGUAGGUGGUGGUUUAAGUCUGCUGUGAAAGCCCUGGGCUCAACCUGGGAAUUGCAGUGGAUACUGGAUCACUAGAGUGUGGUAGAGGGAUGCGGAAUUUCUGGUGUAGCAGUGAAAUGCGUAGAGAUCAGAAGGAACAUCCGUGGCGAAGGCGGC
rnacentral:rRNA from 1 species